rfam:Oryctolagus cuniculus unplaced genomic scaffold chrTn0059, whole genome shotgun sequence.
CUUCUCCGAUAUCUCAACAACCCAUACCUGUUAACAGUGAUUCAUCCUGGCUCUCCAGUGAACUCAGUAUGAGUGACAGGUAGAUCUUCAUACAGUUCUUGACCCAGGAAAAGGUUUCUGGCUGCCCAGA